UACGGAGGAUGCGAGCGUUAUCCGGAUUUAUUGGGUUUAAAGGGUGCGUAGGCGGAUUAUUAAGUCAGUGGUGAAACCCUGCAGCUUAACUGUAGACUUGCCAUUGAUACUGUUAGACUUGAAUAUGGAUGAGGUAGGCGGAAUGUGUAGUGUAGCGGUGAAAUGCAUAGAUAUUACACAGAACACCGAUUGCGAAGGCAGCUUACUAAUCCAUCAUUGACGCUGAGGCACGAAAGCGUGGGGAGUCAAACA
rnacentral:rRNA from 1 species